AUUCGGCUGACGAGUCCAAAAUCUGACGAAACAUGCGUCCUGGAU
rnacentral:hammerhead_ribozyme from 1 species